rnacentral:rRNA from 1 species
CACGUAGGGUGCGAGCGUUGUCCGGAAUUAUUGGGCGUAAAGAGCUCGUAGGCGGUGUGUCGCGUCGGCCGUGAAAACCUGCAGCUUAACUGUGGGCUUGCGGUCGAUACGGGCAUCACUGGAGUUCGGCAGGGGAGACUGGAAUUCCUGGUGUAGCGGUGAAAUGCGCAGAUAUCGGGAAGAACACCCGUGGCGAAGGCGGUUCUCUGGGACGGUACUGACGCUGAGACGCGAAAGCGUGGGGAGCGAACAGG